AGAGUUUGAUCCUGGCUCAGAACGAACGCUUGCAGCGUGGAUUAGGCAUGCAAGUCGAACGAGAAUUCAUGGAUUCAAGUCUUCGGACAAGAAUUCGUGAAGGAGAGUGGCGGAAGGGUGAGGAAUACGUGGGUAAUCUGCCUUCAAGUUGAGGAUAACCCUGCGAAAGCGGAGCUAAUCCUGAAUGUGAUCGUUCCGGGCAUCCGGAACUGUUUAAAGGCGGGGAUCCGAAAGGACCUGUCGCUUGAAGAUGAGCUCACGUCCCAUCAGCUUGUUGGUGUGGUAACGGCGCACCAAGGCUUACGGGUAGCUGGUCUGAGAGGAUGGUCAGCCACACUGGGACUGAGACACUGCCCAGACUCCUACGGGAGGCUGCAGUCGAGGAUCAUUUGCAAUGCGCGAAAGCGUGACAAUGCGACGCUGCGUGGAGGAUGAAGGCCUUCGGGUUGUAAACUCCUGUCAUUCGGGAACAAUAUCGGGGGGAUGAAUAGUUCCUCCGGUUGAUGGUACCGGAAGAGGAAGUCGCGGCUAACUCUGUGCCAGCAGCCGCGGUGAUACAGAGGUGGCAAGCGUUGUUCGGAUUUACUGGGCGUAAAGGAUGCGUAGGUGGUUUCGUAUGUCAGAUGUGAAAGCUCAUCGCU
rnacentral:rRNA from 1 species